rnacentral:rRNA from 1 species
GAUUAGAUACCCUGGUAGUCUACGCUGUAAACGAUGGUUACUAGCUGUUCGUCACGCCUUAGGCGAGAUGAGUGGUUAAGCGAAAGUGAUAAGUAACCCACCUGGGGAGUACGUUUGCAAGAAUGAAACUCAAAGGAAUUGACGGGGGCCCGCACAAGCGGUGGAGCAUGUGGUUUAAUUCGAUGAUACGCGAGGAACCUUACCAAGGCUUAAAUGCAUAUUGACGAUUCACGAAAGUGGAUUUUCUUCGGACAAUUUGCAAGGUGCUGCAUGGUUGUCGUCAGCUCGUGCCGUGAGGUGUCAGGUUAAGUCCUAUAACGAGCGCAACCCCUGUGGUUAGUUACCAGCAUGUAAUGAUGGGGACUCUAGCCAGGCUGCCGGUGCAAACCGUGAGGAAGGUGGGGAUGACGUCAAAUCAUCACGGCCCUUACGCCUUGGGCUACACACGUGCUACAAUGGUAUAUACAAUGAGCAGCCAUCUGGCGACAGAGCGCUAAUCUAUAAAGUAUAUCACAGUUCGAAUCGGAGUCUGCAACUCGACUCUGUGAAGCUGGAAUCGCUAGUAAUCGCACAUCAGCCAUGGUGCGGUGAAUACGUUCCCGGGCCUUGUACACACCGCCCG